UGAACUGGAAAGUGUUACAGGUGGACUGCAAAGCUCUACUGAAUAUUGAGUUAAUCCAAGAUUUACAUGCCAUAAGCCUCCAGAAAUUGGGCUAUGAUGGGCUUUAGCUAAAGUAGUGUUAGCUAACCUUUUAAGAAAGCCCAUUUUUCCUUCCUGUGCAGUCUUUUUCCUGGGCCUUGUUUUCCUGAAGGGACACAUCCUCAGCUGGCAUAACAGCUUAAUCCCACUGAAGCCGGUGGAGUAGUUACGAGACGUGUUGGCUGAGGAUCUGACCCAAAGAAAUCCCUCUUACCGGUGACGAAUUUUCCUCCACCAGGCAAAUCAAUGGACUAAACACUGCAAAUGGAAGAGUACAAACCAGGGUAUUGGCACGAAGGUCCUCCAUUCACCUCCUCCAUGGCAUUUAUUAUCAAGAGGCAGAAGCAGGAAGCUAUUGAAAACUAAAUGUGAAACAAUGGCCAGCUAUAUUAGGGAUUGAAGCUUACUAUAUUUGACAAAAAGUGCCUUUUCAUGUUUUAAGUAUCAAGUAACACAUGCUUCCUGCCAAAGCAUUACAGAAAGUCCAAGCAAACCACUGCCUAUGCACCUGGAACCAAAGUUUGAUCUGAUGACUCGUUCAUUGAAAGUUGAGAAACUGAAUAAGGUUCAGAAAAAGCAGACACGCUUGUUUUCCUCCUCCAGUCUGUGAAGAAAAUGAGGACAAGAUGACAAGAUCCAGCAGAUCUAAAAUGUUGGGGAAUAUAGUGUCCUGGAAUAACCUGUUUAACCCAUUAGGCACUGCUACAGUUUUCUGGAUUUAAUACUACUUUCUCUUCUGUUUUGAAAAUAGGGUGGCUUAUUUAAGUAAUAAAAUAAUUAACAGUUUAAUAAAACA
rnacentral:lncRNA from 1 species